rnacentral:rRNA from 1 species
GUGGGGAAUAUUGGACAAUGGGCGCAAGCCUGAUCCAGCCAUGCCGCGUGAGUGAUGAAGGCCCUAGGGUUGUAAAGCUCUUUCAGUGGGGACGAUAAUGACGGUACCCACAGAAGAAGCCCCGGCUAACUUCGUGCCAGCAGCCGCGGUAAUACGAAGGGGGCUAGCGUUGUUCGGAAUUACUGGGCGUAAAGCGCACGUAGGCGGAUAUUUAAGUCAGGGGUGAAAUCCCGGGGCUCAACCCCGGAACUGCCUUUGAUACUGGAUAUCUUGAGUUCGGAAGAGGUAAGUGGAAUUGCGAGUGUAGAGGUGAAAUUCGUAGAUAUUCGCAGGAACACCAGUGGCGAAGGCGGCUUACUGGUCCGAUACUGACGCUGAGGUGCGAAAGCGUGGGGAGCAAACAGG